GACGAACGCUGGCGGCGUGCUUAGCACAUGCAAGUCGAACGGAAAGGCCCUGCUUUUGUGGGGUGCUCGAGUGGCGAACGGGUGAGUAACACGUGAGUAACCUGCCCUUUACUUUGGGAUAACUUCAGGAAACUGGGGCUAAUACCGGAUAGGAGCUCCUGCUGCAUGGUGGGGGUUGGAAAGUUUCGGCGGUGGGGGAUGGACUCGGGGCUUAUCAGCUUGUUGGUGGGGUAGUGGUUUACCAAGGCUUUGACGGGUAGCCGGCCUGAGAGGGUGACCGGCCACAUUGGGACUGAGAUACGGCCCAGACUCCUACGGGAGGCAGCAGUGGGGAAUAGUGCACAAUGGGCGGAAGCCUGAUGCAGCAACGCCGCGUGCGGGAUGACGGCCUUCGGGUUGUAAACCGCUUUCGCCUGUGACGAAGCGUGAGUGACGGUAAUGGGUAAAGAAGCACCGGCUAACUACGUG
rnacentral:rRNA from 1 species